rnacentral:rRNA from 1 species
UGGGGAAUAUUGCACAAUGGAGGGAACUCUGAUGCAGCGACGCCGCGUGAGUGAUGAAGGAAUUCGUUUCGUAAAACUCUGUUCUAUGGGAAGAAAAGGACUGUACCAUAGGAGAAAGCUCCGGCUAAAUACGUGCCAGCAGCCGCGGUAAUACGUAUGGAGCGAGCGUUGUCCGGAAUUAUUGGGCGUAAAGGGUGCGCAGGCGGCUUUACAAGUUGGAUGUGAAAUAUUGUGGCUCAACCACAAACGUGCAUCCAAAACUGCAAAGCUUGAGUUGAGGAGAGGUAAGUGGAAUUCCUGGUGUAGCGGUGGAAUGCGUAGAUAUCAGGAGGAAUACCGGUGGCGAAGGCGACUUACUGGACUUAAACUGACGAUCAGGCACGAAAGCGUGGGGAGCAAACAGG